rnacentral:rRNA from 1 species
UACAGAGGUCCCAAGCGUUGUUCGGAUUCACUGGGCGUAAAGAGCUCGUAGGCGGUUUGUCGCGUCUGCCGUGAAAGUCCGGGGCUCAACUCCGGAUCUGCGGUGGGUACGGGCAGACUAGAGUGAUGUAGGGGAGACUGGAAUUCCUGGUGUAGCGGUGAAAUGCGCAGAUAUCAGGAGGAACACCGAUGGCGAAGGCAGGUCUCUGGGCAUUAACUGACGCUGAGGAGCGAAAGCAUGGGGAGCGAACAGG